AAGGGGGAGUCAGGAGCGAUUCAUUUCAAGGGGGCUUGGGGACAAUUCCGGUUUGGUUUUCUGAAAAUGCGUAGGGUUGUUUUCCCAAACUUCCGAGCUACUCUGCUCUUCGUCCCAGGAAGGCCAAGCAAAUAAAAGUCCGGGGAAAGUUCCUUUAACUUCCUUCCUGCGCCCUCGACAAGGGCUGCGAAGAGGAAGAGGUCAUUUCCCAGGGAAGCACCGGGCAGGGGCCGAGAGCUGCGCCCAGCCUGCAGGGAUGGAGGCGCUGGGCGGAGGGCUGGCUGCAGACGUAGGCCCCGGAAAGCCCCUUCCCCCCACCCUACCUCAGGCCAACGGCGCCUGGAGCUGGCCCCGCUGCAGCCCUUGCUGUUUGAAGUCCCGCGGCAAAGCGGCGACAACACCGGCGCAGCCCGGCGCCCCGACCCCGGCCGCCGAGCUCCCUCCCUGCAGCACCCCGGCACCCCAGCGCCCGGCCCAACCCGGCCCGCCACAUCCGCGCCCGCGCGGCCCAGCCCGAGCCCCGGAACGAUUCCGAGCCCCACGCCGGCGCCCGGUGGCGGGAGGGGGCGCCGAGCCCGCGGCUUACCUGCGUGCUGGAUCCCCGGGCUGCUCGGAGGGGUGCGGGGCGCAGGCGAGUGCGGCCCGCAGACUCUAACUUUGUUGCUCUCGGGACGGCGCAGUCGUCACUUCCUCGCGGAGCGGGCGGUGCGGCCCGGGCUGUGCGGCCCGGGCUGUGACCCAGCGGCUCGCGCGGUGGCGCGCAGGGCCCUGCAGCCAGCCGCCCCGCCCGCGCCCCCGGCUCCGCGCGCCCCUGGCCCCAGGCGCCGUCUCCCCACUCUGCGCGCCCUCGGCUGCGGGGUAGCGGGCAGCCCUGCGCUGCCGGCCGCCUAGCCUGCACCCCCCGCCCUGGGAGGGAAGCCUCGCUCCAGCCGCGUCGUUUCCGCGCCGAAGUGCGAUCCGGGGCCCCGCGCUGGAGUCCCCUGCUCUCAGGCUGGUGGCAGUUGCUGGAGUACCAGGGCACCAAGUGGAGGAUGUGGUAGACAGCCUCUAAGAUGCGCCCCCUGCCAAUGAUCUCUGCCUCCAGGGAGGAGCUAGAAGGCAGAGAGAAAGCCACUCAGGACUUCCCAUCCCAGAAGAUAAAGGUGAGGAAAGCAGCAGCAGCAGCCACAGGCCAGUAUUCCAGAGCAGCUUUGGGUUCCUGUCAAGACCUGCUUUGAGAAGGAGGUGGCUGUGGGGCUGGAGGGCUGGGCCUGUUCCUGAGCUGGCUGCUGGCAGCACAGCAAUGAGGCAACAUUGAGAACUGCGACACGAGGCCCAGUCCUGCUACUAAACCAACUGUGUGGACUUGCAUAGUCACUUCACCCCUCGGGCCUCCAUUUCUCCACUUUGGAAAGCAGUGUUGGGACGAUGUUAAGGGUUUGCAACCUUCCAACAUGAAGACUUAUUUUUAAAAGCAAAACAUUUCAAAGAGUCCACAUGACAGUAGUGUUCAUUUUGGCAUCUGUUGAUUUAACAAAUACAAAAUUAGGCUGGGUGUAGUUGCUAACGCCUGUAAUUCCAGCACUUUGGGAGACCGAGGCAGGAGGAUCACCUGAAAUCAGGAGUUCGAGACCAGCCUGGCCAACAUGGUGGAACUCCAUCACUACCAAAAAUACAAAAAUUAGCUGGGCUUGGUGGCACGUGCCUGUAAUCCCAGCUACUCGGGAGGCUGAGGCAGGAGAAUCAUUUGAACCCGGGAGGCAGAGGUUGCAGUGACCUGAGAUUGCACCACUGUACUCCAGCCUGGGCAACAGGGCAAGACUCCAUUAAAAAAAAAAAUACAAAAUUAGGCAUGGUGGUGUUCGUCUGUAGUCCCAUCUAUUUGAGAGGUUAAGGCGGGAGGAUCACUUGAGCUCAGGAGUUUGAGUUUGCAGUGAGCUGUGGUCUGCCUGUGAAUAGCUGCUGCAGUACAGCUUGGGCAACAUAGUGAGAUUCCAUCUCUAGUCUUUAAAAAAAGGAAAAAUACGGCCGGGCGCGGUGGCUCACACUUGUAAUCCUAGCACUUUGGGAGGUCGAGGAGAGAGGAUCACCUGAGGUCAGGAGUUCGAGACCAGCUUGGCCAACAUGGCGAAACCCAUCUCUACUAAAAAUACAAAAAUUAGCUGGGUGUGGUGGCGCACGCCUGUAAUCCUAGCUACUCAGGAGGCUGAGGCAGGAGAAUUGCUUGAACCAGGAGGGAGAGGUUGCAGUGAGCCAAGAUCGUACCACUGCGCUCCAGCUUGGGCAACAUAGAGAGAUCCCAUCUCUAUUUUUUUAAAAAGGAAAAAUACAAGGGAUACCAGAGCACUGGGCCAGUGCUUGUUAUAAAGUCCAUCAAUGGGCCAGGCACGGAGGCUCACACCUGUAAUCCCAACACUUUGGGAAGCCGAAGUGGG
rnacentral:lncRNA from 10 species